rnacentral:rRNA from 1 species
UGUCCUACGGGACGCAGCAGUGGGGAAUAUUGCACAAUGGGGGAAACCCUGAUGCAGCGACGCCGCGUGAGCGAAGAAGUAUUUCGGUAUGUAAAGCUCUAUCAGCAGGGAAGAAAAAUGACGGUACCUGAGUAAGAAGCACCGGCUAAAUACGUGCCAGCAGCCGCGGUAAUACGUAUGGUGCAAGCGUUAUCCGGAUUUACUGGGUGUAAAGGGGGCGCAGACGGCAAUGCAAGCCAGGAGUGAAAGCCCGGGGCCCAACCCCGGGACUGCUCUUGGAACUGCAUGGCUG